UUUUUCAUUCUUAACCAACCAAAUCUUCGUAUGUUCUCAUCGAAGUAUCACUUCUUCGUCGAGUCGUUGUUGACUCGUCCUCUGAUCUCCGUUUGUCCCUUUGAUUGGCUGAGACUCCACCCUUACCACCGGCCAUCGUUGUCAUCUGCUAAUUACUCGUUGAUCACUCACUUCUCCAAUCAUCUGCCACCGUUGGAUUCAUAAGUUUAUUGGCCGCGGUCCACGAUCGUUGUCACUUGAUAAACUCCGAUAUAUCUCCAAGAGAUAGAAACAGGCGUGUCUUCAUGUUACGUUGCAGUUUCCAUUCAAUUGUGAUCAUUUUUUUGUUUAAUUUCAAAUGGUUUUGAUUGAAGAAGUUUGUAAUGGCACUAUUUUUUUUAGUGAAAAAAUAUUGUGUAAAGCUAAUGAAUCCAGCGAUUUUAAUUGCAUAAAUUUACUGAUUUA